AUGGAUAACUGUGAGAAUUUGGGUUUAGCUGUGGGUGUGAAGGGGCCAACGUGCAUAUGAUGUUUCCUCUCAUCAAAAGAUGCUUUAGCACUUUUUCCUCCUGUACACUCAAGUGCUAAAGAAAAGUCAAAGAAUUGCUACAGACAAAGGGAACAAAUUUGAAGAAAAUUUCCGGGUCUUUGAGUUGAGAAGUGGUUCUGUUAUAGCAGUAGCAAAACCCACCGAAAGAAUAAGCGAUAAGAUCUCUGCUCCUUUAUCUUCUCUAUUAUUUUAAUAUUAUAUUAUUUGAUUGUGGUGUUGAUAUGAACCCACAAAUAAUUGUCUUUACUUUAUUCAUUCCGCAAUUAUUUUAUUUACUAUAUGGUGUAGGUUUAUUACCCAUACAAGCACAUUUACUUUAUCGUAAAUUUACUUUAAAGGGUGGUGCGGGUUUAUCGUCCACGCCUUUACUGCUUUACUGUCAUUUAAAUGUAUGGAGCAGAAUUAGUGCCCAUACAAGCACAUUUACUUUAUCGCAAAUUUACUUU
rnacentral:lncRNA from 1 species